rnacentral:rRNA from 1 species
GUCCAUGCUGUAAACGAUGAGUGCUUGUUGUCGGUAUUGUAUCGGUGACGAAGUUAACGCGUUAAGCACUCCGCCUGGGGAGUACGGUCGCAAGAUUAAAACUCAAAGGAAUUGACGGGGACCCGCACAAGCGGUGGAGCAUGUGGUUUAAUUCGAUGCAACGCGAAGAACCUUACCAACUCUUGACAUCCUUAUCGGGGAGAUCAGAGAUGAUUUCUUUCAGUUAGGCUGGAUAAGUGACAGAUGCUGCAUGGCUGUCGU